rnacentral:sRNA from 1 species
GCCGGGUGUUGUGGCGGGUGCCUGUGGUCCCAGCUACUUGGGAGGCAGAGGCAGGAGACUCGCUUGAGCCCAGGAGUUGGAGGUUGCUGUGAGCUGUAAUGCCAUGGCACUCCACCCAGGGGGACAGCUUGAGGCUCUGUCUCAAAAAAAAAAAGACUGAGAUUGUUUUUUCUUUUUUUUGAGACAAAGUCUCUCUCUGUCACGCAGGCUAGAGUGCCAUGGUAUCACAGUUCACAGCAACCUCUGACUCCUAGGCUCAAGCGAUCCUCCUGU